GACGAACGCUGGCGGCGUGCCUAAUACAUGCAAGUCGAACGAGAGCGACCGGUGCUUGCACUGGUCAAUCUAGUGGCGAACGGGUGAGUAACACGUGGGUAACCUGCCCAUCAGAGGGGGAUAACAUUCGGAAACGGAUGCUAAAACCGCAUAGGUCCUUUAACCGCAUGGUUGAAGGAGGAAAAGAGGCGCAAGCUUCUGCUGAUGGAUGGACCCGCGGUGCAUUAGCUAGUUGGUGAGGUAACGGCUCACCAAGGCCGUGAUGCAUAGCCGACCUGAGAGGGUGAUCGGCCACAUUGGGACUGAGACACGGCCCAAACUCCUACGGGAGGCAGCAGUAGGGAAUCUUCCGCAAUGGACGCAAGUCUGACGGAGCAACGCCGCGUGAGUGAAGAAGGUUUUCGGAUCGUAAAACUCUGUUGUUAGAGAAGAACAAGUGCUAGAGUAACUGUUAGCGCCUUGACGGUAUCUAACCAGAAAGCCACGGCUAACUACGUGCCAGCAGCCGCGGUAAUACGUAGGUGGCAAGCGUUGUCCGGAUUUAUUGGGCGUAAAGCGAGCGCAGGCGGUUCCUUAAGUCUGAUGUGAAAGCCCCCGGCUCAACCGGGGAGGGUCAUUGAAACUGGGGAACUUGAGUGCAGAAGAGGAGAGUGAAUUCCAUGUGUAGCGUGAAAUGCGUAGAUAUAUGGAAGGAACACCAGUGGCGAAGGCGACUUCUCUGGUCUGUAACUGACGCUGAGGCUCGAAAGCGUGGGUAGCAAACAGG
rnacentral:rRNA from 1 species